rnacentral:lncRNA from 1 species
GGGUGGUAGUAGCCUAGUGGGUAACACUCUCGCCUAUGAACCAGAAGACCCAGGUUGAAAUCCCAUUGUGUCCCUGAGCAAGACACCCCUAAGUUGCUCCAGGGGGUCUCUGUUCACUGUAACUACUGAUUGUAAAUCGCUCUGGAUAAGGGUGUCUGAAAAAUGCUGUAAAUGUAAAUGUAAGUACAAAUAUCAAGUAAUUUCUUCAGUGGGUAUAUGUAACUUUAUAAUCUGUACAAAAAAUAUUUUUAGUCUGAGAUGAAAUAUGGAUCAUAUUUAUUUAAAAUCUGGAAAAUUGUAAAUGUUUCACCAACUUUAAAACAAUUCUACCACCAUGACUACAACUUCCUUGAUAUGAUUAUCACUGUUAUUAUUAUUCAUAAUAGCAACAGCAAAUUUCCCGUUGCAGACAGGAGUGGGUGUGGCGUCUUAUUGUCAUUAUGUCUUGUGCGUACAUAUGUGUAUGUACACAGGAAUUCAGUAGGAAGUCCCACAUUGCAAGUUAAUGAGCACAUUAUAUUGCAACAUAGUAAGAAAUCCUGGUUUAUAAAAGACACAGAAUCAAUCUGUAGAGGUUGACCAGUAGAGGAGACCGAUUCAUCAAAGGGCAGACGUUCUGCAGAUAAAAAAGAAAAUGAAUAUGUACGCAAGAACAGUAACACUGCUAUAUAUUACUGUGUUCAUCUAUGUGCAUGCUGAAAAUACAACUCCAACAAUUAUUACAAGUGUAGAGACCACAGCUGUUAUCAGUUCUACUUCUAAAGCAUCCACAGCAGCAGCUGACACAAAAGGCACUACUGAACCAACAGCAUCACGUACUUCAACAUCUGAAACUGUGACUACCACUGGAAUUGCAACUAUAGUUUCUCCAUCAGCAUCCAGUACUACAUCUGAAGGUGGUAGUACAGUGUCCCUGAUAGAUACAUCAACCAUCACAUCUGCCCAUUCAACAACUACAUCAGAAGCUUUCGCAACAGGUCCAGAGGGUUCUAGUUCUUCUCCAACUACUGUUCCAACAGCAUCAAGUACUACAGCACUUGGGCAUGUGCCUACAACACCUCCUGAAACAGGCUCUACCACCGGAAUUGCAACUAUAGUUGCUCCAACAGCAUCCAGUACUAGAGCUGAAGGUAGUACAAAAUUUCAAACAACUUCUACCACUGGAACAGCAACAGUAGGCUCUUCAACAGCAUCUAGCCCUACAACUCAAGUAAAUGCAACAUCUGCCAGAGCAACUACUACAACAGCAUCCACUAUUUCAACGGCUUUACCUUUCACUUCAGCACAGUCUCAAACAAGCUCUAAAACUCAAUUUAGUGCAAGGACAACUUCUGCUCUUUCUACAGCCACUUCACCUUUUCAAACCACAACAGCAUCAGCCACAAGUACCUCAGUCCCAUCAUACCCUGCUAUAUCAACUGAAGGCUUCCUAAUUCUUACCUUCAGAAUGAUUAGAGCCUUUCAAAAUGACUACUAUGAUUCAUCAACAUCAGCCUACAGGACACUAGAAAGGAAUGUCACAACUGAGUUAAAUAAAGGUUAUAAAAAACGAUAUCCUUUAACAUUUGUCAGAACUUACAUACUACGAUUUUGGCCUGGAUCAGUCGGUGUGGAUGCUCAACUAAUUUUUCAAAACCAGUCAGUGGUUCCCAACACCACAACUGUAACAACUGAUCUUAAAACCGAACUGUCAAAAGUUGUUUUCCUGGAUGUCAUUCCAGAAAGCAUUUCUGCACAGAAUGCAACAACCACAGCAGCAACAACAUUUGCAACAACUUCAAGCAGUGCUACAAGAAGUCCUACAGCAAGCAGUACUACAGCAAGCAGUACUACAGCAAGUAGUGCUACAACAAGUAGUGCUACAACAAGUUUUUUACUCACUUUCCUUCUUCCACUCUUCCUCAUACAUGUUCUACAAUGAGUAGACAAUCUGUUUUACUCUUUCAUCCUUUUGUUCACAAAACACAAAAUUGUCAGAAGAAGGAUUAGCUCAAAAUACUUUCAUACUGACCAUGUUAUUAUUUAUCGUACAUCAUAAACUUAUCACUACAAUAGAUUUAAGAUACAUUUUGAGAGAUAAUGAUCAGAGAUGAUUGCCCAAUCACCUACACUGUAUGUUUUAUGGGUAAAUGAGGCAAUCUGAGUAUAAUUUGUACAGUAUUACAUAUUUUAAUUACUCAACCAUGUUAUUAUUUAAAUUAAAAACAAAUUUAACAUAAUGUAUGUAAUAUAUAACAUAAUAACAUGUAAUACAACAUAAUAUUGUACAUAAUAUAUUGUACAUAACAUAUAACGUAACAUAUUUAAAAACGUAAAUAAG